rnacentral:tRNA from 1 species
AGAGCGUUAGUUCAGUUGGGAGAAUUCCUGUCUUACAAACAGGCGGUCGACAGUUCGAGUCUGUCACGCUCUACCA